rnacentral:lncRNA from 1 species
GUUAAAAGAAUGUGAAACAAACAGUAAUUUUUUUAUUUUACAUUUAAAAGUUGCAGAACUAAAAGUUAAAAAAAAAUGUUUGAAGAGAAAAAUAACAAAGAGAACUUUUUUUUUUAAGAGAUAGAUAGCAGGCUACCCGCUUGUGUUUAUUUCAUUUAGAAAUAAAUUUAGCUAGAAUUGUGAAUCAACUAGGAUUCGAACUUGGGUCUCGGAAACCAACCUCCAAACCCUUUGCCACUUGCUCUAGAGACGAUCGGUAACAAAGAGAACUAAAAGAACAAAAAGAGCUCUAUAGCAUAAUUAAGAAUCUCACCAAUAU